rnacentral:rRNA from 1 species
UACGUAGGGUGCAAGCGUUGUCCGGAAUUAUUGGGCGUAAAGGGCUCGUAGGCGGUCCAUCGCGUCGGGGAGUGAAAAGCUGGGGCUUAACCCCAGUCCUGCUUCCGAUACGGGUGGACUAGAGGUAGGUAGGGGAGAUCGGAAUUCCUGGUGUAGCGGUGAAAUGCGCAGAUAUCAGGAGGAACACCGGUGGCGAAGGCGGAUCUCUGGGCCUUACCUGACGCUGAGGAGCGAAAGCAUGGGGGAGCAAACAGG